UCUAGAAAGUAAUAUUUAAAAUAUUUCACAUUAAAUUGUAUAUGCUUUAGACCUUUAUCCUAGUCUUAAUGGUUUUCAUUAUAAAUACCAACAUCACCAUUGGAAUAAAAAAAACAACAAAAAAACUUGCAAAUGUCACAGUCUUUUUGUUUCUUUGCCGUCUUGGUUUUAGUUCUUGCAGUUCAAAUCAUAGAGAUAGAAUGUGGUGAAUGCUCACAAAUAAUGGGUAAAUGUGGUGAAGCAGAAGAUUGUACUACUCGGUGUAGUUUUUAUGCAAGUGGUGUUCAUGUUUUGAAAGCAUCAUGCUCAUUCUUAAAUUUAUGCACUUGUACAUUCGAUCGACCACUACCAAAACUAGCAGCACCUCCUUGCCUUAUUGGGUUGGGAGUUUGCAGUAAUGAACAUAAUUAUGAAUGGUGCCAAAAAGAGUGUCUAAGUAAAUAUCCUAAGUCGGGUAUUGGGGCAUGUGUACAAGAAUUUGGUCAGAAUAUUUGUGUUUGUGUGUAUAAUAGUUGAGUUUGUACUUAAUUGAAAUAAAUACAAUAAAAUAUAAUUUUUUCAUCUCUAAAAAA